GUCAUGGGGGAGGUGGUGGCGCUUGGUGGCCACUGGCGGCCGAGGUAGAGGCAGUGGCGCUUGAGUUGGUCGGGGGCAGCGGCAGAUUUGAGGCUUAAGCAACUUCUUCUGGGGAAGAGUGCCAGUGCAGCCACUGUUACAAUUCAAGAUCUUGAUCUAUAUCUAUAGAUUGGAAUAUUGGUGGGCCAGCAAUCCUCAGACACCUCACUUAGGACAAAUGAGGAAACUGAGGCUUGGUGAAGUUACGAAACUUGUCCAAAAUCACACAACUUGUAAAGGGCACAGCCAAGAUUCAGAGCCAGGCUGUAAAAAUUAAAAUGAACAAACUACGGCAAAGUUUUAGGAGAAAGAAGGAUGUUUAUGUUCCAGAGGCCAGUCGUCCACAUCAGUGGCAGACAGAUGAAGAAGGCGUUCGCACUGGAAAAUGUAGCUUCCCGGUUAAGUACCUUGGCCAUGUAGAAGUUGAUGAAUCAAGAGGAAUGCACAUCUGUGAAGAUGCUGUAAAAAGAUUGAAAGCUGUAUGUAUUUGAUGGUUGCCAGUGUUGAUCUAUAUGCUAUCAAUAUUUUCUUAAAAGAUUUUGCUCAGUACAUUUUAGUGACCCAGUAAAAACUGUGUUUCUGUUAAAAAGAUGUGGGCUUGCUAAUAAGGAGCAUCUCAGCCAAGCGCGGUGGCCUACUCCUGUAAUCCUAGCACUUUGGGAGGCUGAGGCAGGAGGAUUACAUGAGGCCAGGAGUUUGAGACCAGCCUGGGCAACAUUUCAAGACCCUGUCUCUAUUAAUUCCAAAAAUGUUUUCUUAAAUAAUAAAAUAAUAAUUAAAAAAUUUAAAAGCAUCUCAUGUUGCCCAU
rnacentral:sRNA from 1 species